UACGAAGGGGGCUAGCGUUGCUCGGAAUCACUGGGCGUAAAGCGCACGUAGGCGGCUUGUUAAGUCAGGGGUGAAAUCCUGGAGCUCAACUCCAGAACUGCCUUUGAUACUGGCGAUCUUGAGUCCGGGAGAGGUGAGUGGAACUGCGAGUGUAGAGGUGAAAUUCGUAGAUAUUCGCAGGAACACCAGUGGCGAAGGCGGCUCACUGGCCCGGUACUGACGCUGAGGUGCGAAAGUGUGGGGAGCGAACAGG
rnacentral:rRNA from 1 species